CAGCCCUUGACAUGUCCCGUAUGAGAACCAGAGAUGGAUCUCUUCAGUUCGGCUGGCGGGCACACAGGUGCUGCAUGGCUGUCGUCAGCUCGUGUCGUGAGAUGUUGGGUUAAGUCCCGCAACGAGCGCAACCCUCGCCCUUAGUUGCCAUCAUUCAGUUGGGCACUCUAAGGGGACUGCCGGUGAUAAGCCGCGAGGAAGGUGGGGAUGACGUCAAGUCCUCAUGGCCCCUACGGGCUGGGCUACACGCGUGCUACAAUGGCGGUGACAAUGGGAUGCGAAGGGGCAACCCGGAGCUAAUCUCAAAAAGCCGUCUCAGUUCGGAUUGCACUCUGCAACUCGAGUGCACGAAGUCGGAAUCGCUAGUAAUCGUGGAUCAGCAUGCCACGGUGAAUACGUUCCC
rnacentral:rRNA from 1 species